GUGAAAAGAGAAACCCUAUAACAGGUAAAGCAAAACCUAACAAGUAAGGAAAAGUGUGUAUGUGUUUUUACUAAUAGGUUUAAAGAUGCAAAUCUUACAGAGACAGAGAGAGGAAACAGAUGGGAGUGUUGGGGAGAGAGAGUUGGGAAUUUCAAAAGUAAUAUAAUAUUAUUUCUUUAUUUCAAUUUUGACCAGUUGGGCACUACUGCAACGAAGUUUUCAAAUCAGUCUAAUAUUUCCAAAAUUAAAAGGUUUGGUCAAA
rnacentral:misc_RNA from 1 species